GAAAGAAACUUCCAGAGAAAACCUGUAAGCAUUUGACCUUUUCUCCAAACAUUUGUAAACUUGUGUGUCAUUUGGUUUUAUUAUGUCAAAUAACCAUUGGAGAUAAAGUGUAAGCUUAGUAAGAUGAAUUUGUAUGUACUCCAAAGUUUGUAUCAUACGCUUGAUUUUUCAAAUUUUGAUUCAUAGUUCCAAAAAAUAAUAAUUAUAAUCAUCUCCUUUUGUCCAUAUGAGGCUCAUAAAGUUUUUAUUAUAAUGGUUCACUUAAUUUAAUUGGUGCUCAUCUCUCUCCCUCCCUCCUAUUUGCAGUCAUGUUGGGCCAUACUGUUAAGAUGGUCAUAUUUAUGCAACUCAUUAGCAUUCUUCAACUAAUAACUUUUCAAAUAUGCAAUUUGACAUCUUGAGUUCAAAAUUUGCAGUUAUCAAGUGAUCUCCAUAAGAAG
rnacentral:misc_RNA from 1 species